CUCUGGUCUUCGUGGCGGGUGGCGGCCGGUCCCGUUAGGUUUGCGGAAGCGAUGGCGGCAUGCGUGUUGAGGCUGCUGACCACUCUCCUGGCUGCCGCCUCCGCCGCCUCCCCGGCCGAGGUUGAAUCCGAGGCGGGAUGGGACAUGGUGGCGCCUGAUCUACUUUUUGCGGAGGGGACCGCGGCCUAUGCGCGCGGGGACUGGCCCGCGGUGGUACUGAGCAUGGAGCGGGCGUUGCGCUCCCGGGCAGCCCUGCGCUCCCUCCGCCUGCGCUGCCGCACCCGGUGUGCCGCGGAUCUGCCGUGGGACCUGGACCCCUACUCGCCCCCGAGCUCUGGCCAAUCAUCGGGCGCCGCCGCCCUGCACGACCUACGUUUCUUCGGGGGCCUGCUGCGCCGUGCCGCCUGUCUGCGCCGCUGCCUGGGGCCGCCGAGCGCCCACUCGCUCAGCGAGGAGCUGGAGUUCGAGUUCCGCAAACGAAGCCCUUACAAUUACCUGCAGGUCGCCUACUUCAAGAUAAACAAGUUGGAGAAAGCUGUGGCAGCAGCACACACCUUCUUUGUGGGCAACCCGGAGCACGUGGAGAUGCGUCAGAACCUAGACUAUUACCAAACCAUGUCUGGGGUGAAGGAGACCGACUUCAAGGAUCUUGAGGCCAAACCCCAUAUGCACGACUUUCGAUUGGGAGUGCGACUGUACUCAGAGGAGCAGCCGCAGGAAGCCGUGCGCCACCUAGAGGCGGCGCUGCAAGAAUACUUCGUGGCCUACGAGGAGUGCCAUGCACUCUGCGAGGGGCCCUACGACUACGACGGCUACAACUACCUCGACUACAAUGCUGACCUCUUCCAAGCCAUCACAGAUCAUUACAUCCAGGUCCUCAGCUGUAAGCAGAACUGUGUCACCGAGCUUGCCACCCACCCCAGCCGAGAGAAGCCCUUUGAAGACUUCCUGCCAUCGCAUUAUAAUUAUCUGCAGUUUGCCUACUAUAACAUCGGGAAUUAUACACAGGCUGUUGAAUGUGCCAAGACCUAUCUUCUCUUCUUCCCCAAUGAUGAGGUGAUGAGCCAGAAUCUGGCCUAUUACACAGCUGUGCUUGGAGAGGAGCAAGCCAGAUCCAUUGGUCCCCGUGAGAGUGCCCAGGAGUACCGACAGCGAAGCCUGGUGGAGAAAGAACUGCUUUUCUUCGCUUACGAUGUUUUUGGAAUUCCCUUUGUUGAUCCGGAUUCAUGGACUCCAGAGGAGGUGAUCCCCAAGAGACUACUAGAGAAACAGAAAUCAGAACGGGAAACAGCCGUACGCAUCUCUCAGGAGAUCGGAAACCUUAUGAAGGAAAUUGAGACACUUGUGGAAGAGAAGACUAAGGAGUCGGUGGAUGUGAGCAUGCUGGUUCGGGAAGGUGGCUCCCUGCUCUAUGAAGGAAUCAGUCUCACCAUGAACUCCAAGCUCCUGAAUGGUUCCCAGCGGGUGGUAAUAGAUGGUGUAAUCUCUGAUGAUGAGUGUCAGGAGCUGCAGAGACUGACUAAUGCAGCAGCAACUGCAGGAGAUGGCUACCGGGGCCAAACCUCCCCACACACCCCCAACGAAAAGUUCUAUGGCGUGACUGUCUUCAAAGCCCUCAAGCUGGGACAGGAAGGGAAAGUUCCCCUUCAGAGUGCCCACCUGUACUACAACGUGACCGAGAAGGUGCGACGCAUCAUGGAGUCCUACUUCCGCCUGGAUACACCCCUCUACUUUUCCUACUCCCACCUGGUGUGCCGCACUGCGAUCGAAGAGUCACAGGCUGAGAGGAAGGACAGUAGCCACCCAGUUCACGUGGACAACUGCAUCCUGAACGCCGAGGCCCUCGUGUGCAUCAAGGAGCCCCCUGCCUACACUUUCCGGGACUACAGUGCCAUUCUUUACCUAAAUGGGGACUUUGAUGGAGGAAACUUUUACUUCACUGAACUAGAUGCCAAGACUGUGACGGCGGAGGUGCAGCCCCAGUGUGGAAGGGCUGUGGGAUUCUCGUCUGGCACUGAGAACCCACAUGGAGUGAAGGCCGUCACCAGGGGGCAGCGCUGUGCCAUUGCCCUGUGGUUCACCUUGGACCCUCGCCACAGUGAGCGGGAACCAGGCCCAGAGAAGCUAAGGAACUUGCUGAAUGUCACACAGCUCCUCAGUGGCAGAGCUACAGCUAGAACCCUGGCUUCUGGUCCUGUACAUGAAAACACUUUACGGUGAAGUGUGACACCUCAGGGGGGUUUACACUUAGUUCUCAUGUGGACGUUGGGGAGGGACCCUGGGUCUAUCUCUUCUCCCUGCGUGCCUGGGAGCCACUGGGUUGGGAGGGGCCCUGGGUGGAGAAGCCACACCAGGCUAGGGAGCUGCACCCAGAGGGGAGAAGAUCUGAAUCCCAAAAGGCUUUGAACAUUAUUGAGGGAAGGCCAUGAGAGUAAGAAAGGCAAUUUUGGCAGAACACCCAAAACCUCAAAUAACAGAGGUGGGAUAAACAGAAGAGCCUCAGAGGAAGAUGUGAGCAUUGUUCUAGGUCACAAAGGAGCUCUGGGGGGCAGGCUGGAGGAGCCCACUGGGCACUCUGAUGCCCCCAAGGCCUUAGAGCCACAGACCUGGGCCCUGAGGAGGCUGAGUGACCCCAAGCAGCACACUGCCCCUCUCAGCUUCCUCACUUGUCAACAGAGGGGGUUGCAGUCCACGGUCUCUGCCGGCCUGUGUGGCUGUGACCCUUGGCUUCUGGGUUGUGCUAAAGAUAUUGAGGCUCCAGAGCACAGGGACCUGACCCAGGUCCUCCUAGAAACCUGGGAUGAUCCCUGGAUCUUCCUUACAGAGCGAGCCCCUGCAGAAGGCAGGGAGAAGGGGCCUGCCAAGGCCCAAGGUGGGAGAGGAGGGGACCUCAGCCCUUUGGGAAAUGUGCUAAGUGGCCGCUAUGUGCAGGGUACCCUGCCCGCCCGCUAAUAUCAUCACAACCCUGUGAAGCAGAUGUCCCCGUUAGAGGAGAGGAAAUUGAGGCUGUGCAGUUCAGCCACCCCUCACCUCUAGGAUGCAUCUAUGACUGCCCCUCUCCCCCAUUCUCCCUCCCAGAAAGGCCGUGGGAGCCCACAGAUCUGAGCGGGAAGCCCUCCCUGGCAAUUCUUAGUUUGGGGUAAGCUGUCUCCCUCAGCAGAGGUUUUCUUAUCUGCAGAGAUCAGCCUACCUGGAAGGGCUGCCUCGAGGAUUCAAUGAAUUAAUAUGUAAAACGCACCAGGGACAAGACACAGGGUCCUUACUGCACACACAGGAGUCCCGUGUCUUUCUGUCUCCUCUUCCCACUCUGGCUGCCCUGCUCCCCCUGAACGCAGUGCCUGUGGCAGAAGGAGAAUUUGAACUCACGACUGACUUCUCUACACCUGUUCUAGACCCUGUGUGCUUUUUGGGACCCACGGGCAGUUCUGGGAAACAGGCCGUCCUGGAGCUGUGAGCCAGGGCCAAGGUGCCCCAAGUCCCAGCAGGAGCUGCUAAGCUAGCCAGCAAGGGGAUUAAGCAUGCCAGGUCGGUACUGUCUCCUGC